AUCCUAGAGUAGCGGAAGACGCAAUAUUAGUGAGUGGGAGUUUUAUGUACGUAAUUUGUUUUGUGAGUGGUGAUAAUACAGAGCCGACCGAGCAGGUCCAGUUGGUUUGAGAUCAUGGUGAAACAAUGCUGCCCUUGCUUUUAUUUUAUUUAUUUUUAUUUUUUUGGGGGGGGUUAUUGAUUUAUUCCCUGUUAGGCCACGUGAACAGUAAAAUGAACAAGUAAUAUGUUUUCCUGUAAAAGGGCCCUUUCCUAAUUCACUGUUUUCAAUACACAAAGGUACUAAAUCUCCUUGUUUUUUAUGUUUGUCAGAACAAAAUAAAGAGGAAGCACUCAAUAUA